rnacentral:rRNA from 1 species
GUAGGUGGCAAGCGUUGUCCGGAAUUAUUGGGCGUAAAGCGCGCGCAGGCGGUCCUUUAAGUCUGAUGUGAAAGCCCACGGCUCAACCGUGGAGGGUCAUUGGAAACUGGGGGACUUGAGUACAGAAGAGGAAAGCGGAAUUCCAAGUGUAGCGGUGAAAUGCGUAGAGAUUUGGAGGAACACCAGUGGCGAAGGCGGCUUUCUGGUCUGUAACUGACGCUGAGGCGCGAAAGCGUGGGGAGCAAACAGGGAUUAGAUACCCUGGUAGUCCACGCCGUAAACGAUGAGUGCUAAGUGUUAGGGGGUUUCCCGCCCCUUAGUGCUGCAGCUAACGCAUUAAGCACUCCGCCUGGGAAGUACGGCCGCAAGGCUG